rnacentral:rRNA from 1 species
GUGGGGAAUAUUGCACAAUGGGGGAAACCCUGAUGCAGCGACGCCGCGUGAGUGAAGAAGUAUUUCGGUAUGUAAAGCUCUAUCAGCAAGGAAGAAAAUGACGGUACUUGACUAAGAAGCCCCGGCUAACUACGUGCCAGCAGCCGCGGUAAUACGUAGGGGGCAAGCGUUAUCCGGAUUUACUGGGUGUAAAGGGAGCGUAGACGGCAAGGCAAGUCAGAAGUGAAAACCCAUGGCUCAACCAUGGGACUGCUUUUGAAACUGUCUGGCUGGAGUGCAGGAGAGGUAAGCGGAAUUCCUAGUGUAGCGGUGAAAUGCGUAGAUAUUAGGAGGAACACCAGUGGCGAAGGCGGCUUACUGGACUGUAACUGACGUUGAGGCUCGAAAGCGUGGGGAGCAAACAGG